rnacentral:lncRNA from 1 species
CGUUGAUAGGCAUAUCUCAUCUGCUCUGUACAUAUGGAAUUAAAAUUGUGUUAGAACUUAUGCUACUUUAGAAACAUUAAGUGUAUGGCUGCCUUUUGAAAUACUGGACGUGUUGUUGCCUUACAGAGGACUACAAAUACAAAGCAAAUGGCUGUUUUAAAAUUAUGUAAAUAAGUCACAAGCUAGUUGUCUGAAAACUCUUAAGUCCCUUUAAUUUUGAUAGAAUUUUUUUCUUACUAGGAGGUCCAGGAUGUUUUGUUUCGUGGAAAGCAGUAUAGGAAGUGGAGGUAAGCUGAGCAGUAGGCAAGAGCCUUCACAGAAAGUCACUGGUAAUGAGUUUUAAAGCAAGUACUGUAGAUUAUGAUUUUCUCUCUAAGAAAGUAUGGCCUUUACAAAAAAUGAAUGGUUUGCUCUUUGUGAACACACAAUUAUGGAUUUCAUAGAGAUAUUAACAGCUCUUCAUGUAGACACAAUUUUGAAAAGGAUAUUAUGUUAGAAAAAUUUCAAACUACGUCUCCCAAACAAAAUGGGAAACCUUAG